UGACUUUUUUGGGCAGUUACAAUUACAUUAUCAGUGCCAGCAAUAAUUAUUCAAAUGAUCAUCUAAUUGUUAAGUGAUCCAAACUUAGAAUGGAUAAUACCAUGUGACAGUAUUUCUCAACUUUCCACCAGGAGUUUGGAAAUUAUGGAUUCAUUGGUGAGGAGGAACUCAGAACUGAAUCUGGCCAACAAAGGAAAGAGAACCUACCCUGAAGACCUAAUUGAAGUUAGUGCUAUACAAACAUAUUCUUAUGUUGGUGAAUAUAUACUUACUGGCUGAAGUAAAGCACUCACAACCGAUGAGUGGGCAGAUCUACUUAAGUUUUCAAACUCAUGCCUUACUCGGGGACAGAGACUAUAUUUUCCUUAUAAAUGGAACCAGAACACUCCUGACUCAGGAAUUUUGUACAGCUUCCUGAUGGGAGAGGCAGUAUAGUAAAUGUUAUUUGGAUGCUUAGGACAUUUCAGUGAUUUGUGAAACUGCAGGGAGAAAUUGGGACAGUUUUCAAAAGUCUGGGAUAAAUGAUCUUUAUAACUAUGGGGAAUUGCAAAGUUAGAGUCCAUGGCAGGGAGAACCAAAAGGAGAAAGGAAAUUUAAGAGUCAAACUGACUAGGAAAAUGAUAUUAAAUUCAAAAGCUUUGGAACAUCAGUAUUUGGAUACAGAAAGUCUUCUAAUACACUGAAAAUGUGUUACCUUGGGAAACCUGCAAUUAACCAAAUCAAUUACUGAAAUAUCUCAUGUGCCACAAAUGGGCAGAGGGAUUUUUAUCUAGGAACACUAACAUAAUUUUAUAGAUGAAGCAUUUGUCUAACUAAUCCACUAAAGCAAGGCUGUGUCACCCAGAGUAGAAAAAAAAAAGGGCUAA